CACGUAGGGUGCGAGCGUUGUCCGGAAUUAUUGGGCGUAAAGAGCUCGUAGGCGGUGUGUCGCGUCGGCCGUGAAAACCUGCGGCUCAACUGCAGGCUGGCGGUCGAUACGGGCAGGCUGGAGUUCGGUAGGGGAGACUGGAAUUCCUGGUGUAGCGGUGAAAUGCGCAGAUAUCAGGAGGAACACCGGUGGCGAAGGCGGGUCUCUGGGCCGAUACUGACGCUGAGGAGCGAAAGCGUGGGGAGCGAACAGG
rnacentral:rRNA from 1 species